UUCAAAUUUUCUCAACAAGCAUACGUAGUUUUCUACAAGCACAAAUAUGUAUGUGUAUAUAUGCAUAAAUGUAUAUGUGUGUGUAUAUAUAUAUAUAUAUAUAAAUGAUGUUUCAGUACAAAGUUUUGUAACUUUUUAAAACAAAGCUAUAAAUCUCUCAUGCAAUUUAGAAGAAUUACCACUCAAACUUCAAACAGUCACGUGCAAUCUUGUGACAUCACUUCUAGACCUGUGUCCAUUCUAAGUUGAAUGGAGGCAUCAGAGUUUGGAUUUUAAAUCAGAAGACUUGGAUUACAAUUCUGACUUGGCUAUUGAAGUGGUAUUGACUUAACUUACCUGGCUUUUGAACACUGUGAAUCGCUGAUGACACUGAAUGCCAUUGCCCCACCCCAGAUUGUCCGGCUUCAAGGCGGUUUCAUUGAGAUAGCUACAGUGGGUGAAGGGUGCGUUCUCCUUCAGAGGUGCCCUAACAGCCUGUGCCUGAGCGCAACAGACUGCACUUCCUCCAGUGUACCACGUGGUGGCGCCUUUUGACAUUGCCAGCCUCCUAGUUUAGGUUUUGUUCUUUAUUAUCUUUUUUUAUUCUUUCUGAAAUUUAAGACCAUUCCCCAACUCCCUUCCAACUUCCCCUUUUCAUUAGAAAGGAAAUUCAGAGAGGAAGGUAACAGUACCUAAUUUCACCAGUUCCUAUGUUAAAAAUUAAUAUUCUUUUAGUUAAUUGAUCUUUUGGAGAUCAAAAGUGUUGGUUUAGGAGUGGGGAUAUAGAUAUAUUUUUCUUUGCUUUUUAAUGAGUUUAUUAUGUUGGAGCGUUAGUCAUCUUGUGGAAUUAAGUGAGUCUUCCACCAAUCAGGCUGAAAUAAUUCACAUUUUUGAUAAAACCCCAAAGUCCAGCUGAUGCAUGGCAGAGAUUGUUUGGGUUUGAAACAUAUGGUGGUUAAAAAAAAAAAAAAAAACUGAGUCCUCAACCACAAAUACAUCAGCAUUUCAAAGGUUUCUAAAAUGUUUGAUUCAUCACUGUCCCAGCCUCUGAAAUUGCACAAUAUGUUCCUCAAAGUCAAGAUAAUCAAGAAAGGGGAAAAGUUUUAACUUACAAGAUUUAAAAAUACAUUCCUUAGUUCGUUAUACAGCUGCCACCUUAUCUGAAUUACACUUAUUUUAAACACUGUAGGUUCUGGUUAUCCUCACACACACACACACAAACACGCACAUUACUGCAAGUAUGAGCUGAAUAUACAAAACCUAUAUAAAUGAGCAAUCUCAUUUGUACUGGGUCUAUUUACAACAGCGUUGCGCCUUGUGGGACUCUAUUUUAAAUGGCACAUCUUCUGUUUUACCUAUAUUAAAUACUGAUGUGGCCUUCUCUCCCUCCUACCUUGAUCUUUUCAAGGCUCGUUUUGGCUGUAUUUAUUUUAUAAAGCAGGGUAGUCUGCUGACCGCAGCUGUGAACUUCAAGGUUUAAUUUUCUAGUUCUAUAUAUCAGAAGACAAGUAUGCCAUGGGGUAAAUCACUUAGCCUUUCUUUGUUUCCAUUUUUUUCCACCUGACCAAGUAAGACUCUUUAUUUUCUUUUUGGAGAUUUUUUCCCCAAAGAAUUCACUAAAUAAUGUAUAAGAUUUGAAGGUGGUGUUUUCUGGGGGGGACUAAGACAGAGUAUUUCCUUUGAGAGGAGAAAAUGGCCCAUUGUUGGAGCAUAGGAUGAAAUUCCGAUUCUAAUUUAUUCUCUUUGAACCUGAUGGUAAGUGUUCCUUGCUGUAAGAUGUAGUCCUUCGGGCAUUUCCACUAACCAGACCUUUCGUCCGAAGGGCUGGUACCUUUUGCACUGCUAAAGAGAGAUUCCCCCACCCCUCACCCCGUAGUUCCAAUGCUAAAUUUUAUAAUGGUCUGCUAAAUUUCCCGGUCGAAGCUAACUUACACUAAAAGCCAGUCUCCAGGUCUCGUGCAGCGCCUCCCCAUCUUCUGCCUGGUGGAGCCAGCUUGUCCCUUCCCUUUGUUCUGCCAUGGUGACUCACCAUAAUUUGGAUCCACUUGAGUUUUUAAAGGGGAAACUCUGUCUCUUCCUGAUUGUGCAUUAAUUCACAUAUUCCUUUAUUCAGUGAGCACAUAUUGAGUCCCUCCUUGGUACCAAGCAUUAUGUUUGAGAUACAGGAUGAAUAGGACUCUGAAAUGCUUUGAGAGAAAUGUUAAUACCUGUGUGUGUGUGUGUGUGUGUGUGUGUGUGUGUGUGUGUGUGUGUGUGUGUUUAAGUUGUAUAUAAUCACUGUCUCCACCCCCUCCAAAAAGACCAGAACUGAUUAGAAGAGAAAGACUAACUUGGUGCAUGGAAUUCUGUAUGCGUGCCAAAUACUGCUGCAAAAAAGAUUUGGCUUCUGAGUGAAAAGACACCAACCAAGCAUUUGAUUUCUAUGGUUGAACACUCUCAAGAUCUUGCUCUCCUAUAUUUCAUUUAAAAAAUUGCUCCCCGAAGUGCAAACUGACUUCAAUUUUGAAUAAAAUGUAGCAUUCAAAUUUAUAGCCACUUUGAAAACUGAGGGUUUAUUUAGAUCAUGUGAACCUGAACAGAUUCUUAAUUACAGCAGCCCUGUUGCACAUAGAGAAUCUGGGUUACAAAAAAAAAAAAAA